UACAGAGGUCCCAAGCGUUGUUCGGAUUCAUUGGGCGUAAAGGGUGCGUAGGCGGCGCGGUAAGUCGGGCGUGAAAUCUCGGGGCUUAACUCCGAAACUGCAUUCGAUACUGCCGUGCUUGAGGACUGGAGAGGAGACUGGAAUUUACGGUGUAGCGGUGAAAUGCGUAGAUAUCGUAAGGAAGACCAGUGGCGAAGGCGGGUCUCUGGACAGUUCCUGACACUGAGACACGAAGGCCAGGGGAGCAAACGGG
rnacentral:rRNA from 1 species